ACUGUUGAAAUGAUGAGAUUUCUCAUGUCUCUUCUCUGACCUGUUAAUGAUGAGAGAAAUAUUUCUCUGAUCACAGU